rnacentral:rRNA from 1 species
GACCAGACUCCUACGGGAGGCAGCAGUAGGGAAUCUUUCACAAUGGGCGAAAGCCUGAUGGAGCAACGCCGCGUGCAGGAUGAAGGCCUUCGGGUUGUAAACUGCUUUUAUAAGCGAGAAAUAUGAUGGUAACUUAUGAAUAAGGAUCGGCUAACUACGUGCCAGCAGCCGCGGUAAUACGUAGGUGGCAAGCGUUAUCCGGAUUUACUGGGUGUAAAGGGCGUGUAGGCGGGGACGCAAGCCAGAUGUGAAAACCACGGGCUCAACCUGUGGCCUGCAUUUGAAACUGUGUUUCUUGAGUACUGGAGAGGCAGACGGAAUUCCUAGUGUAGCGGUGAAAUGCGUAGAUAUUAGGAGGAACAUCGGUGGCGAAGGCGGCUUACUGGGCUUUUACUGACGCUGAGGCUCGAAAGCGUGGGGAGCAAACAGGAUUAGAUACCCCCGUA